rnacentral:lncRNA from 1 species
AUCUCGCUCCAGGUCCAAGAGGAACCUCCGGCCGCCCGCGUAGACGCAUCCCCAGUCGGCAGCUGCGAGCGCCGAGAGCAGCGCGAGCGCUGUGAAGAUGCGAGGAGGUGGAACAAUGAAUUUAUAGCGGCAUGCCAUCCUGCAAUGGCAAUUUCAACAGUUCGUCACUGCACGCUGCCUCUUAAAGGGAGAGCUUCCCCCACCACUCCCACCCUUCCCAGUCCGCGCCUAAUCA